AUGAUGUUGAGGGUUCAAAAGACAUGGUCAUCCCUCCAAUGUCUUUGUGCGUUAUUCUUUAGCUCUGGGUGGGCGUGUGCUUUGAUUAUAGGAAGUGCCUCGGGCAGUGGCUGGCAUUUGAAGGGCUGCUCCACACGUAUCAAUCAUCCUUUGACAAGAUCUGGGAGAAGGAGAAAAAAAAAAACUCGACAAGGGAGAAAAAAAAAAAAAAAAACUUGCCAUGGUCUCAUAUUUGGGAAGGAUAAAUAG
rnacentral:lncRNA from 1 species